rnacentral:ncRNA from 1 species
GUGUUGUACAAAAGGAAAAAAAUGUUUAGCGCUUUCUUUGACAAGGAUGGAAGAGGCCCUGGGGCCUGAGAACAGUUAUAUGAUUAAGGCAUUACCACCUGUUCCGUGGCAUCUAACCACCAUUUUUC